rnacentral:rRNA from 1 species
GCGAUCAUACCUGCACUAAUGCACCGGAUCCCAUCAGAACUCUGAAGUUAAGCAUGCUUGGGCGAGAGUAGUACUAGGAUGGGUGACCCCCUAGGAAGUCCUCAUGUUGCACCCC